rnacentral:rRNA from 1 species
AGGACGAACGCUGGCGGCGUGCUUAACACAUGCAAGUCGAGCGGAAAGGCCCUUCGGGGUACUCGAGCGGCGAACGGGUGAGUAACACGUGAGCAACCUGCCCUUAGCUCUGGGAUAGCUCCGGGAAACCGGAAUUAAUACCGGAUAUUACACCGGCUGACAUCGGCUGGUGUGGAAAGAUUUAUCGGCUAAGGAUGGACUCGCGGCCUAUCAGCUUGUUGGUGGGGUAGUGGCCUACCAAGGCGACGACGGGUAGCCGGCCUGAGAGGGCGACCGGCCACGACUGGGACUGAGACACGGCCCAGACUCCUACGGGAGGCAGCAGUGGGGAAUAUUGGACAAUGGGCGCAAGCCUGAUCCAGCAAUGCCGCGUGUGUGAAGAAGGCCUUCGGGUUGUAAAGCACUUUUAUCGGGAACGAAAUACUACUGGUUAAUAACCGGUGGGCUGACGGUACCCGAGGAAGUAAGCACCGGCUAACUUCGUGCCAGCAGCCGC